rnacentral:piRNA from 1 species
UGCCACUAUUGUACCUUAAGAUCAUUGUGU